AUCUAUCUCUAGUCUCUUCUAAAUAUUUUUGUCUCUUCCUCUUCUCUGAGGAGUCCCUGCAUCUUCUCCGGCGACCUUCUCUAUCAGAGACCAUGGAUUCCUCACCCCCUUCCACCAUUACAUCAUGGGUGUUCAAGGUUUUGAAGCAUGACCUCGACGGUUCUCUAUUAAACCUUCGCAGAUCUUCAGUUCUAUGGUUACUCCAGUAUGUUCUUGCAUACCCAAGGCAUUAGAAGCCUUUUUUGACCUCUUCGACUCAGGAUCGGUCCUUCUUCCAAAGUCGUUCACACUUCUAGGGUUUCUCCGAGACCCUAAGUUGUUCGAUGUUUUUUCUAUGUUUAUGUUCUUAUAUCUAUCUUAUGUUUGUGUUCUACUAGACUUCUAAAGUGUUUUCCCUAAAAACUUUCUUUUAAAAUCAUUUGUCUUCAAUUUAGGGUUUCUGUAAAGUUUUCGAAACAUCUUUCUGACUCUUUUUCUUCUUUUCUUUAUGUGUGUUUGUUUGUAUCUUGCUUGUAUGACUCCUUUUACUAUGCAUAUACUGUUCUGCUACUUUUCUUUUCUACUAUACAUGUGGCCACAUGUUAAUCCGUAGUAUAUUUUCAUUACUUUUCUACUAUCUGUGUUUUGUCGUUGAGUUUUUUUUGGUUUACUGGACUAUGUUCGUGUUUUGCUAAACAUGUUUCAUUUGCUUUUGCCUAAGUUAGUAUCACUUCCUUCUUCUGAGUUUGUUUAAGUUCCGAGCCUUUCUUAAAACAUGUUCUUCAUGCUUUAAAUCAGUUUUCUUUCCUUGUUGUUUCAAAAUUGCUAUCACAUCUGUUUUGCUUCUCAUAAGGCUCUGAAGCAGAACUUUAAGUCUGUUUCAAUGACCUGCCUUCUCGCCUCUAUGCAUGAUUUGAUUCGAAAACCUAGGAUUUAGGGAUUACUUUGGGAAUUUUGAUUUGGUGUUUGAGUUAGGGUUCCACUUUGGAACCUUGAACACUCACACCCACCAUGACUCUGCAAACUGAACCUGUAUCUCUUUUAUGAUUUUGAACUUCUCUCUUUUACAUAACUCGACAGUCUCUUCUGGAUUCACAUGUUUUGUACUUUAUAUAUGAUAACUCUUCUCUCAAGAUGUUUUCCAACAACUGAUUGAUUCGAAUCCCUUUGAUGGAGUUUACUGGAUUGUUCCGGAUUUUCCUUAAGUGAAUUUUUCUUUACCCUUUUCUCGACCUGAUUCAUUCAAGUAAGCAUGUGAAUUUUGGUUCUACUGAUUGAUUCCCUUUCCUUUUUCUUACUAACCGUGUGCCACUAGUCUGUUGCCUUAAAUAGCAUUUAUGCACUUACCCUUUAUUAUACUGCUAAGAAAAUAUUUUUGUCAAAUCUCUUUUCUUAUUUGUUUUACAUGUUUGAUUUUGAAUCCCUUAAUUAAAGGGAUUGCUUAUGUUGAUUGAUUGUAAUUGAUAUAUAGUUCCAUAAUUACUAUGAUUCCUACCUUACGCUCUACUUAUUUUUUAACUAUAAAUACCCGACCCUCUCUUUCCCAAAAUACACCUUCAAUUCAACAAUUAAAUACACAAUAGUUUUCUGACUUGCACACUACUGAAUACCUUCAUAGUCUACAUUCUGUCUUACUCUUUUUUGCUCUACUACUGUUCUCUGCUCCUGUUUACUUUUAUCCGGCUAAAAGCCAAGGCUAAUAUACUUCUACUGCUCUGUCUUUGCAUCCUGCACUUUCUCUUUACUGGUAUGUCUUGACUUAGUCCCCAUCAAUCACCCUAAUGUGUUUACGUGUAGUCUUUAUAUCUAUGCCUACUACCUGCAGAGUUUGACAUGAUCACAUGUUACUGUUUGCUUCAUUUUUCCUGUAAAUGUUAGAUGCAUACUCCCUUAUCCCCGAUGUGUUUAUGAAUAGGGAUUCAGGGCAUGGCAACAUGAAUUUUUGUCCAUGAACUAAAAUUUGACCCCAAGUAAAGAAUGUGUCAGUAUAUCUCAUUGUUGAUCAUGUCCUUUGC
rnacentral:lncRNA from 1 species